AACGAACGCUGGCGGCAUGCCUAACACAUGCAAGUCGAACGAGACCUUCGGGUCUAGUGGCGCACGGGUGCGUAACGCGUGGGAACCUGCCCUUAGGUUCGGAAUAACUCCCCGAAAGGGGUGCUAAUACCGGAUAAUGUCUUCGGACCAAAGAUUUAUCGCCUUUGGAUGGGCCCGCGUUGGAUUAGCUAGUUGGUAGGGUAAAAGCCUACCAAGGCGACGAUCCAUAGCUGGUCUGAGAGGAUGAUCAGACACACUGGGACUGAGACACGGCCCAGACUCCUACGGGAGGCAGCAGUGGGGAAUAUUGGACAAGGGGCGAAAGCCUGAUCCAGCAAUGCCGCGUGAGUGAUGAAGGCCUUAGGGUUGUAAAGCUCUUUUACCCGGGAUGAUAAUGACAGUACCGGGAGAAUAAGCGCCGGCUAACUCCGUG
rnacentral:rRNA from 1 species